GACGAACGCUGGCGGCGUGCUUAACACAUGCAAGUCGAACGGAAAGGCCCUACUUUUGUGGGGUGCUCGAGUGGCGAACGGGUGAGUAACACGUGAGUAACCUGCCCUUGACUUUGGGAUAACUUCAGGAAACUGGGGCUAAUACCGGAUAGGAGCUCCUGCUGCCUUGUGGGGGGUGGAAAUUUUCGGCGGGUGGGGAUGGACUCGCGGCUUAGCAGUUUGUUGGUGGGGUAGUGGCUUACCAAGGCGUUGGCUGGUAGCCGGCCUGGGGGGGUGACCGCCAACAUGGGGACUGGGGUAGGCCCAAACGCCCAAGGGGAGGCAGCAGGGGGAAGUAUUGCACAAUGGCGCGAAGCCUGAGGAGGCAACCCGGGGGGCGGAAUGACGGCUUUCGGGUGUAAAACCGCUUUCGCAUGGGACGAAGCUUUAGUGACGGUACUUGGUGAAGAAGCACCGGCUAACUACGUG
rnacentral:rRNA from 1 species